UACGUAGGGUGCGAGCGUUGUCCGGAAUUACUGGGCGUAAAGAGCUCGUAGGUGGUUUGUCGCGUUGUCCGUGAAAACUCACAGCUUAACUGUGGGCGUGCGGGCGAUACGGGCAGACUGGAGUACUGCAGGGGAGACUGGAAUUCCUGGUGUAGCGGUGGAAUGCGCAGAUAUCAGGAGGAACACCAGCGGCGAAGGCGGCGCUCUGGGCCGGUACUGACACUGAGGAGCGAAAGCGUGGGUAGCAAACAGG
rnacentral:rRNA from 1 species